CGACCGGCUGAUCUCCGUCCCGUCCAGCCACUGGAGACGGACACACAGGACAGGGGACUUCUGGAUGCUAACGACUUAGCUUCAGCUGCAGGUUAGCGUAGGUUUAUGGCAAAGAAGAAGUGGCGCCUCCUGCACAACCAACCAGAAUGCAGCAAGUGGUUUCUGGAUGCUCAGUCUGAUGUGUCUCCUGGACCCGAUCGCACCGAUUCUGGGGAUGAGGUUGUUCUGCAGGUAGAGGAUCCUCAGCUCCCGGCACCACCGGUCCACAUGCUCGAUCCGCUCGAUGUCCUGCUGGUG